rnacentral:rRNA from 1 species
UUCCGGUUGAUCCUGCCGGACCUGACUGCUAUCGGAUUGAUACUAAGCCAUGCGAGUCUUUGUAGUAAUACAAGGCAGACGGCUCAGUAACACGUAGUCAAUCUACCCUAUGGACGGGGAUAACCUCGGGAAACUGAGAAUAAUACCCGAUAGAUCAUAAUGCCUGGAAUGGUUUAUGGUUCAAAUGAUUUUUCGCCGUAGGAUGGGACUGCGGUCUAUCAGCUUGUUGGUGAGGUAAUGGCCCACCAAGGCUAUAACAGAUACGGGCUCUGAGAGGAGAAGCCCGGAGAUGGGUACUGAGACACGGACCCAGGUCCUAUGGGGCGCAGCAGGCGAAAAAACUUUGCAAUGUGCGAAAGCACGACAAGGUUAAUCCGAGUGUUUUCUGCUAAAGAAAUCUUUUGUUAGUUCUAAAACCACUAUCGAAUAAGGGGUGGGCAAGUUCUGGUGUCAGCCGCCGCGGUAAAACCAGCACCUCAAGUGGUCAGGAUGAUUAUUGGGCCUAAAGCAUCCGUAGCCGGCUAUGUUAGUUUUCGGUUAAAUCCAUGUGCUCAACACAUGGGCUGUCGAGAAUACUGCAUAGCUUAGGGAGUGGGAGAGGUAGACGGUACUCUGGAGGAAGUGGUAAAAUGCUUUGAUCUCUCGAUGACCACCUGUGGCGAAGGCGGUCUACCAGAACACGUCCGACGGUGAGGGAUGAAAGCUGGGGGAGCAAACCGGAUUAGAUACCCGGGUAGUCCCAGCUGUAAACUAUGCAAACUCAGUGAUGCAUUGGCUUGUGGCCAAUGCAGUGUUGCAGGGAAGCCGUUAAGUUUGCCGCCUGGGAAGUACGUACGCAAGUAUGAAACUUAAAGGAAUUGGCGGGGGAGCACCACAAGGGGUGAAGCCUGCGGUUCAAUUGGAGUCAACGCCGG